rnacentral:rRNA from 1 species
CUAGAACACUUCGCUCUGAUGUCAGAUUAAUUAUUGCCGUCAAACUUCAUAUGGUAAUCUAAGUGGCUUGCGAAUCGUACCCCUGUGUAGUAACGCUGUUAAACACAUAGUAAUACACAUUCGAACAUUGGACAAAACUACCGCCAAAGGCACUUGCCCGCAACACCAAUGAGCUAUAUUGCCUAAGCUAGGAAACUAGGCCGCAAGAAUGGUAAACUUAUAGUGACCAAAGGGGUGCCAGCAGUCGCGGUUAGACCCCAACUCGGAAUUAAUUCACACGUUGACAUAAAGGUACCAAACCCACCUCUGACUUCAAUCUUACAACCCAAAAGUGAAAUUUGUAACAAAAUAAGUAUACCCAAACAAGUCAUCACCCCAAAACGUACCCUAACAAACCACACCUACAAGACGCGGAUUAGAUACCCGCCUAUCGCGUGGCCCAACACUCCAAACUCUAAAAACGAAAGUUCCAAACUUAAAAAGCGUGGCGGUAUUCUACACCUUAUUAGGGGAUCCUGUGGCUUAAUUCGAUAACCCACGAACACCGAAGCUUUGUUAGUUAACAGCUUAUGUAUGGCCGUUUUAAGUCUGCACACCAACAAAAUAAAAGGAGACACCCAAGACUACAUCUUGCUAACACAGGUGACAUAUAGCCAACACAAAGCAGCUCAUGGGAUACAAAUGCCUAUCAAGCAUCCAAAAGAGAAUGAAAUUUCUGCUAUAAAGGAGGACUUAAAAGUAAGGUUACAACACUACUACAGCCUGAACAAGAACUAGAAUGCGCACAAAUCGCCCGUCACUCCCGAUACUUAAAUCGGGAUAAGUCGUAACACAGUAGGGGUAUCGGAAGUUGCCCCUAGACUAAAC